CCCUUAGAUGUUCUGGGCCGCACGCGCGCUACACUGAUGCGUUCAACAAGUUUCCUUGGCCGAGAGGCCUGGGCAAUCUUCUUAAUAUGUAUCGUGAUAGGGAUAGAUUAUUGCAAUUAUUAAUCUUGAACGAGGAAUUCCUAGUAAACGCAGAUCAUCAAUCUGCAUUGAUUACGUCCCUGCCCUUUGUACACACCGCCCGUCGCUACUACCGAUUGGACGGUUUAGCGAGGCCUUCGGAUUAGCGCGCGCCGCGCCGCCCGCCCUUCGGGGUUGGGUGGCUGGUGAUAGCGUUGAGAAGACGGUCGAACUUGACCGUCUAGAGGAAGUAAAAGUCGUAACA
rnacentral:rRNA from 1 species